GGCAUCGCUGGGGUGCGGCUGGUCACGCCGGAUGGUGUUAUCGUCACCACGGAUGAAUUUGGCCGCUUCAGCGUUCCAUGUGCCGCGCUGCCGC
rnacentral:tRNA from 1 species